GAGCUCUCAAUCUGUCAAUCCUUCCAGUGUCCGGGCCUGGUGAGAUUUCCCGUGUUGAGUCAAAUUAAGCCGCAGGCUCCACUCCUGGUGGUGCCCUUCCGUCAAUUCCUUUAAGUUUCAGCUUUGCAACCAUACUUCCCCCGGAACCCAAAAGCUUUGGUUUCCCGGAAGCUUCCCGCAGAGCCUACAUAAAAAACAGCUGCGGAUCGCUAGCUGGCAUCGUUUAUGGUUAGAACUAGGGCGGUAUCUGAUCGCCUUCGAACCUCUAACUUUCGUUCUUGAUUAAUGAAAACAUUCUUGGCAAAUGCUUUCGCAGUAGUUAGUCUUCAGACGGUCCAAGAAUUUCACCUCUGUCGUCUGAAUACUAAUGCCCCCGACUGUCCCUAUUAAUCAUUACGUCGAUUUCCGAAAACCAACAAAAUAGAAACGACGUCCUAUUCUAUUAUUCCAUGCACGAAUAUUCAAGCGUGUAAAGCCUGCUUUGAGCACUCUAAUUUUUUCAAAGUAAACCUGACGGCAUCCCAGGACACUCGGUUAAGAGCACCCUGGAACCUCCGUCAAAAACACAGGUAAAUGGGGCAGUAAUGCCGAAUAGCAAACCGCCCCCUACCUGCCGAGAUCCAACUACGAGCUUUUUAACCGCAACAACAUUAAUAUACGCUAUUGGAGCUGGAAU
rnacentral:rRNA from 1 species